AUGACGGAGAUGGAGACGAUGCAGCAGAAUCUGCAGGAGUUCUUCACCAAGAUGCUAGAAGAGAAGUUGGAGGCCAAGCUCGACCCGUUGGUGACCGACCUCCGCGCGCGAGUCGACGCCAUCGCCACGGAUCUGGACGUGGUCCAGCAAGCACGCGCCCACGGUGCCCCUUCGCUUGAGUCCACCCAGAAGCUGCUCACCGCCGCGACCUCGAGCGCCCCUCCGCGCCCCGUGCUGAUCUGCAACGAAGGGGAUCCUACGGAGGAGCUCGAUCUGCAGUUCGCCCCUCGGGGCGACGGGGUUCCGCGUGGACACCAUGAAAUCCCCCGCGACAUCGAUGGCGCUCACGAGCACCGCUUCCGUCGCGACGGUGACCACUGUCCCGUCAGGCGCGGCCAUGGCGACAACUUUGACCUGGCGUACGCGCCUCGCGGCAACGGGUUGCCGCACCAUGUUGCCCAUCCCAACAACGACGAUGCCGGCUGGUACGACCGCCACGAUGACCACGACGGCCACGAGCGCCGCAUCCCCCAUGCCGCCGCUGACUGGCUCGAGCGCCGUCGUGAUGGCCGUCGCGAUGACGCAGAUGGCCAUGAGCGUUGCGUUCCUCACGAUGCCAUUGACUGGCCCGAGCGCCGCCGUGACGGUGAGGAUGGCCGCGUCCGCCGAGACGCCGCUGGCUGGCCCGAGCGCCACAAUGACUGUCGUGAUGGAUUUCACCUUAGGCCGCCCAAGCAUCCUUUUCCAGAAUUCAAAGGGUAG
rnacentral:rRNA from 1 species